AUUAUACUCCCUCCGUCCGAAAAUACUUGUCAUCAAAAUGGACAAAAAGGGAUGUAUCUAAAACUAAAAUACAUCUAGAUACAUCCCUUUUAUCCAUUUUGAUGACAAGUAUUUCCAGACAGAGGGAGUAUAUA
rnacentral:pre_miRNA from 1 species